rnacentral:rRNA from 1 species
GAAUAUUGGACAAUGGGGGAAACCCUGAUCCAGCAAUGCCGCGUGAGUGAAGAAGGCCUUAGGGUUGUAAAGCUCUUUCGGCGGGGACGAUGAUGACGGUACCCGCAGAAGAAGCCCCGGCUAACUUCGUGCCAGCAGCCGCGGUAAUACGAAGGGGGCUAGCGUUGUUCGGAAUCACUGGGCGUAAAGGGCGCGUAGGCGGCUCGACAAGUCAGGCGUGAAAGCCCCGGGCUCAACCCGGGAAAUGCGCUUGAUACUGUCUUGUUUGAGUCCGGGAGAGGAUGGCGGAAUUCCCAGUGUAAAGGUGAAAUUCGUAGAUAUUGGGAAGAACACCGGUGGCGAAGGCGGCCAUCUGGACCGGUACUGACGCUGAGGCGCGAAAGCGUGGGGAGCAAACAGG